AAAGCGCUGCUCCGCGGACAGGUCGCUCAGCAGAGAGCAGAAGUUGGAGUCGGAGGGCAUGCCCAGAGGGUGGCUGCGGAGCUGGAGGAUCUUCUCUCCAGCAGAGUUUCGCAGCGAGUCCCACGUACAGCUGAAGCCUUUACUUUUGCUCGACUCAGCUCUGCUUCCCAUGUGCUGCGUGUGCAGAGAUGAAGUUCUCAAUUAAACACUAUUAUUAUCUGCCAGCAAGAUUUAUGAGCAAGGGUAACUGGGUAAUAGAAAUUCCGGUGCUUGGCUUAUGGCUUUCUGCAUUACAUUUGAAGGACAAAGAACUGAUGAAGCACUAUGUAAUGCAAAUACAAUAUUUGCAUGCUAUCAAGGGAACAUUAUUCAGGAUGUGUGAACGUGUCAUCUUCUGUGUCAGCGUCGUUGCUGGUCCUCAGGUCCACCGGGACGUCGUGUAUGCGCGAUAACAUUUUGGCUGCUGCGUUUCUCUUGGCUAGCUUCUUGGAGGUUCCACUUCCUGGAGAGAAAGAGGAGCGACAGGACCACUGAUUGAUGACGAGUCUGACUCUGUGAUAUUCAUUUAGUGAGACUUUGAUUGCUUGAAAUCUGCUCUAAUUUUGAUAGCCCGAUCUUUAUUUUGUUAAAGAAACUACAAGGAACUUUCGUUUUGUGUUGAUUUUGGCAGCCCUGAGGACAAAGGUGGUAGUGUUUUGUUUGUUGUGUAAAGAUCUUGAUCUACGAGCGUGUGCAUUUGUUUCAGGAGGAAACGAAACAAUAACACAACUUAUUUUUCAUGUUAUUUUUCUUUUUUUAAACACAAACCUCUCACUGAUGGUCUUGUUUGACUAAUAUGUAGGUCAUAUAAAGGCAGCAUAGCUAGUUAAAAACUCCUUGCAGUAUGUUUAAAUGGGACAAUAAUAUUGCUGCCUAUUAGAGGCACCUGUAAGUUAUACCAGAGACUUGUCAAUGCUCAUGGAUUCACGUUGCAAGUGUAGGUCAGGGAAGGUCAGAACUUACUCUGCACCCCUGCAGGCAUCACAAAUGACUUUCUAUAGUGAGCUGUUUUCUGUUAUUAUUAUUUCAUUAGUAGCAUCAGCGUUGAAAUGUAUCAUUGCUGAUGGCCAACUUCAGGGCAUGUUUGAGGACACUGUUCAAGUGGCAUGUCAAAAAAUUCUUUUAAAAAAAAAGUGCAAAAAGGUGGACAUGAUCUACACCAGAGACAAAACCUCUAAAUACACACAGCACGAUCUCCAUUUUACCGAUUUCGACAAAUCUCUCGACUCUGCAGGUCAUGGUGAACUCUUUGCGGUGUGCUGGACCAGACUCCUGUGUGACGGUGUACUCUGGCAAACGCCAACCUUUCUGCACCACCAGUUCCUGACAGAGAAGAACACAAACAAAUGAGCUCCUACUGGGUUACAUUCAGACUGCUGAGAACUGCCUGAGGUCUUCAUCUCUGACUGGGAGCUGUGCAGAAGAUGAGAUAAACAAAAAAAGAGGAAGUAAUGAAACCACACAGACCUCUAUCUCAAAUGUGUUCUGUGCUUUGACACGCUGACAUGAGCUGAUGUUGGUCACAGUUUUCUUCCAGUGUGGCUGUCUAUGUCUCGCUUCAGAAGAAAAAAACGAAAUAGGAAACUGACCCGUCUCCAUCGGCAGACACGUCAACCCCAAUAAACCCGUCUACUCCAACACCGACUCCGACGGAACCUCCAAGGCCCCCCUUGAGCAUCUUCAGAGCAGCCUCGGCUGCUUUGUGCUUGGCUGCCUUCUUGCUGGGCCCUUGGCCGGUGCAGCUGAUCUCUCCGACGGAGACGCGGAACGUGAAGUUGGGCUGGUGGGCCUGUCCCUCGGCCUUCAGCAGGUCGUACACUGGGGUCUUGCCUAUCCGCGUUCCAUACUCCUGCAGCAGACUGAUGGGCGUCUUUCCGGGAUUCACAGCCAGCAUUUGCUCAAUACUAAACAAAAGAAAAACCUGGCAUGAGAAGGACUGUUGAGCAACUGUUGAUUAAUUUACAAAGGGCUUUGGAAAACUGGGUUAUUUAUUCCUUUCAAGAAACAUCACAUAGGUCUUUGCACUUUAUUUAGCCUGAUUUAAGGGUCACUUCACCCAAAUUACAAAAGGUUGCGAUAUCCAAUCCACCACCCCAAUACAAAACAAUGCAGUUUCAAAAUGCAUAGACAGCACUCACAACCUUAAAGCUUAAAAACACAUACACUCAGUUGCCAGUUUAUUUGGUACAGUUAGCUAAAACUCAUGCAGUCUAAUACAACAGCCCUGCAAUGCAUCCUACCUCCAAAAACAUUAUAAUGUUCAGCUAUUGUUGAAUCUGUUUUGAGAGGUGUUUGAUUCAGCUGUAUGGUCAUUUUGGUUUGUGGUGCUGCUGAAUUGCAUUGUGUCAUACUGACAGGUGUUUCUAUGAUUUUGUUCACCCCAUUUAAAUCAAUGAGAGUGGGCUAAAUAGUAGAAACACUUAUAUUAUCACUCUGUAUUAUCUUUAGUGCU